rnacentral:rRNA from 1 species
AACGAACGCUGGCGGCGUGCCUAACACAUGCAAGUCGUGCGAGAAAGUUCCUUCGGGAGCGAGUAAAGCGGCGCACGGGUGAGUAACACGUAGGUAACCUGCCCCCCAGUCUGGAACAACUAGAGGAAACUCUAGCUAAUGCCGGAUGAGACCACGAUCCCUUCGGGGGUUGCGGCCAAAGAUGGCCUCUACUUGUAAGCUAUCGCUGAGGGAUGGGCCUGCGGGCCAUUAGCUUGUUGGUGAGGUAACGGCUCACCAAGGCUGUGAUGGCUAGCUGGUCUGAGAGGAUGACCAGCCACACUGGGACUGAGACACGGCCCAGACUCCUACGGAGCAGCAGUGGGGAAUAUUGCGCAAUGGGCGAAAGCCUGACGCAGCGACGCCGCGUGGGUGAUGAAGGC